rnacentral:rRNA from 1 species
CACGUAGGGCGCAAGCGUUGUCCGGAAUUAUUGGGCGUAAAGAGCUCGUAGGCGGUCUGUUGCGUCCGCUGUGAAAACCCGGGGCUUAACCCUGGGCUGGCAGUGGAUACGGACAGACUAGAGGUAGGUAGGGGAGAAUGGAAUUCCCGGUGUAGCGGUGAAAUGCGCAGAUAUCGGGAGGAACACCGGUGGCGAAGGCGGUUCUCUGGGCCGAUAUUGACGCUGAGGAGCGAAAGCGUGGGGAGCAAACAGG